GAUGAACGCUGGCGGCGUGCUUAACACAUGCAAGUCGAACGAAGCAAUUUAUCUAGAUCCCUUCGGGGUGACGGAUUUAUUGACUGAGUGGCGGACGGGUGAGUAACGCGUGGGUAACCUGCCUUAUACAGGGGGAUAACAGUUAGAAAUGACUGCUAAUACCGCAUAACCCGCUAGUGUCGCAUGACACAGACGGAAAAGAUUUAUCGGUAUAAGAUGGACCCGCGUCUGAUUAGCUGGUUGGUGAGGUAACGGCUCACCAAGGCGACGAUCAGUAGCCGGCUUGAGAGAGUGAACGGCCACAUUGGGACUGAGACACGGCCCAA
rnacentral:rRNA from 1 species